rnacentral:rRNA from 1 species
AUUGAACGCUGGCGGCAGGCCUAACACAUGCAAGUCGAGCGGAGCGGCGGACGGGUGAGUAAUGCCUAGGAAUCUGCCUGGUAGUGGGGGAUAACGUCCGGAAACGGGCGCUAAUACCGCAUACUAUCAGAUGAGCCUAGGGCGGAUUAGCUAGUUGGUGGGGUAACGGCCUACCAAGGCGACGAUCCGUAACUGGUCUGAGAGGAUGAUCAGUCACACUGGCACUGAGACCCGGUCCAGACUCCUACGUGCAGCAGCAUUAGGGAAUAUUGCACAAUGGGCGCAAGCCUGAUGCCGCCAUGCCGCGUGUCUGAAGAAGGCCUUCGGGUUGUAAAGUACUUUCAGCGGGGAGGCGUUACCCGCAGAAGAAGCACCGGCUAACUCCGUGCCAGCCGCCGCGGUAAUAC